rnacentral:rRNA from 1 species
GACGAACGCUGGCGGCGUGCUUAACACAUGCAAGUCGAACGGAAAGGCCCUGCUUUUGUGUGUUGCUCGAGUGGCGAACGGGUGAGUAACACGUGAGUAACCUGCCCUUGACUUUGUUAUAACUUCAGGAAACUGGUGCUAAUACCGGAUAGGAUCUCCUGCUGCAUGUUGGGGGUUGGAAAGUUUCGGCGGUUGGGGAUGUACUCGCGGCUUAUCAGCUUGUUGGUGGGGUAGUGGCUUACCAAGGGUUUGACGGGUAGCCGGCCUGAGAGGGUGACCGGCGAAAAUGGGACUGAGAUACGGCACAGAAUCCAACGGGAGGCAGAAGUGGGGAAUAUUGCAGAAUGGGCGGAAGCCUGAUGAAGAAACGCAGCGUGCGGGAUGACGGCCUUCGGGUUGUAAAAAGAUUUAGAAUGUGAAGAAGAGUGAGUGACGGUAAUGGGUAAAGAAGCACCGGCUAACUACGUG